GAUGGAAUGAAGCUUUACAUUUCAGACAACAAGGUCAUUCUUACUGAAGGUUUCGACGGGGUGGUGGCAGUAAAAUACUUUCAAAAAAUUGAGUCAUGGCCGAAUCGACAACCUAUUCCUUUUUGAGCCUGGAUGAGAUGAUUGUCCUGUGCUAACUCUAAUAGUUUAUUGACACAAGUUUCAUUUGGAUUUGGAACUUGGGAAAUCUUUGCAUUGAAUGACAAUGAACUUGACAGCAAACACAAACCGUCCUUCAUAUGAACUUCUUGGUGAAAUCAUUCAUAAAGAUUUGGCAACAAGUAC
rnacentral:misc_RNA from 1 species